AUUGAACGCUGGCGGCAGGCCUAACACAUGCAAGUCGAACGAGUGGCGGACGGGUGAGUAAUGUCUGGGAAACUGCCUGAUGGAGGGGGAUAACUACUGGAAACGGUAGCUAAUACCGCAUACCAUCAGAUGUGCCCAGCUGGGAUUAGCUAGUUGGUGGGGUAAAGGCUCACCAAGGCGACGAUCCCUAUCUGGUCUGAGAGGAUGACCAGCCCCACUGGAACUGAGACAAGGCCCAUACUCCUACGGGAGGCAGCAGUGGGGAAUAUUGGACAAUGGGCGCAAGCCUGAUGCAGCCAUGCCGCGUGUAUGAAGAAGGCCUUCGGGUUGUAAAGGACUUUCAGCGGGGAGGCGGUACCUGCAGAAGAAGCACCGGCGAACUCCGUGCCAGCAGCCGCGGUAAUUC
rnacentral:rRNA from 1 species